CGUACACUCCUGCGGGAGGCAGCAGUGGGGAAUAUUGGACAAUGGGCGCAAGCCUGAUCCAGCCAUGCCGCGUGAGUGAUGAAGGCCCUAGGGUUGUAAAGCUCUUUCACCGGUGAAGAUAAUGACGGUAACCGGAGAAGAAGCCCCGGCUAACUUCGUGCCAGCAGCCGCGGUAAUACGAAGGGGGCUAGCGUUGUUCGGAUUUACUGGGCGUAAAGCGCACGUAGGCGGACUAUUAAGUCAGGGGUGAAAUCCCGGGGCUCAACCCCGGAACUGCCUUUGAUACUGGUAGUCUUGAGUUCGAGAGAGGUGAGUGGAAUUCCGAGUGUAGAGGUGAAAUGCGUAGAUAUUCGGAGGAACACCAGUGGCGAAGGCGGCUCACUGGCUCGAUACUGACGCUGAGGUGCGAAAGCGUGGGGAGCAAACAGGAUUAGAAACCCGAGUAGUCC
rnacentral:rRNA from 1 species